rnacentral:tRNA from 1 species
GCAGGCAUAGCUCAGUGGUACAGCAAGUGCUUAGCAGGCACAAGUUCCUGAGUUCAAUCCCCAGUGCCUCCA